GACGAACGCUGGCGGCGCGCCUAGCACAUGCAAGUCGAACGAGCGAGAGAGAGCUUGCUUUCUCGAGCGAGUGGCGAACGGGUGAGUAACGCGUGAGGAACCUGCCUCAAAGAGGGGGACAACAGUUGGAAACGACUGCUAAUACCGCAUAAGCCCACGACCCGGCAUCGGGUAGAGGGAAAAGGAGCAAUCCGCUUUGAGAUGGCCUCGCGUCCGAUUAGCUAGUUGGUGAGGUAACGGCCCACCAAGGCGACGAUCGGUAGCCGGACUGAGAGGUUGAACGGCCACAUUGGGACUGAGACACGGCCCAGACUCCUACGGGAGGCAGCAGUGGGGAAUAUUGCACAAUGGGGGAAACCCUGAUGCAGCGACGCCGCGUGGAGGAAGAAGGUCUUCGGAUUGUAAACUCCUGUUGUUGAGGAAGAUAAUGACGGUACUCAACAAGGAAGUGACGGCUAACUACGUG
rnacentral:rRNA from 1 species